UACAGAGGGGGCAAGCGUUGUUCGGAAUUACUGGGCGUAAAGGGCGCGUAGGCGGCCUGUUAAGUCGAACGUGAAAUCCCCGGGCUCAACCCGGGAACUGCGUCCGAUACUGGCAGGCUUGAAUUCGGGAGAGGGAUGUGGAAUUCCAGGUGUAGCGGUGAAAUGCGUAGAUAUCUGGAGGAACACCGGUGGCGAAGGCGGCAUCCUGGACCGACAUUGACGCUGAGGAGCGAAAGCCAGGGGAGCAAACGGG
rnacentral:rRNA from 1 species